GGGAAUGUGGCUCAGUGCUAGAGUGCGUGCCUAGCAUGCAUGAUUCCUGGGGUUUGAUUCCUCAGUACCA
rnacentral:tRNA from 1 species